rnacentral:rRNA from 1 species
UUGUUCCUACGGGGGGCAGCAGUGGGGGAUAUUGCGCAAUGGGGGAAACCCUGACGCAGCAACGCCGCGUGAAGGAUGAAGGUUUUCGGAUUGUAAACUUCUUUUAUUAAGGACGAAAAAAUGACGGUACUUAAUGAAUAAGCUCCGGCUAACUACGUGCCAGCAGCCGCGGUAAUACGUAGGUGGCAAGCGUUGUCCGGAAUUACUGGGUGUAAAGGGAGCGUAGGCGGGAAGCCAAGUCAGCUGUGAAAACUACGGGCUUAACCUGUAGACUGCAGUUGAAACUGGCUUUCUUGAGUGAAGGA